rnacentral:lncRNA from 1 species
GUGGAUGUGAUGAUUAUUUCCCCGAAUGAUCGAAUCUGAAAUAACUAAGCGCUCAAUUCAUGUUUCUCCUUUUGGUGAAAUUCAAGCAAAAAAUCUGAUCCAUCUUCAAAAUUGUGUUUUGUUUAAUUAUAAAUAGUUGAUUUUUAUUAUGUGUUUUGAUAAUUAGAGAGUGGAAAUGAUGAUUAUUUCCCCAGAUUAUAGAAGUUGAUUAUACUGUGCGCAUUUAAUUAUAUUCUCUAUUACGUUAUAGAGAAUCCAAGCCAAAAAUCUGAUCCUA